rnacentral:rRNA from 1 species
AAAUUGCCUCUUAAUAUAAAUAAAAUUGAUUUAUAUUUAGAACAUUAUAAUAAUAAUAAUAAUUUUAGUUUAAAUUAAUAAAUGAAUUUAUAAAGAAUAAGUACUGUAAAGGAAUGUAUAUAAUUUAAAAAUAAGAAUAAUUAAAAUUAGUACCUUUUGUAUCAGGGUUUAUUAAAUCUUUAAAUGAUUUCAGGUUCCCGAAAUAUAGAGAGUUAAGUUAGAAUAAACUUACUGUGGAAACAUUAAAAAUAAUUUUAACUUGGAAUAGAGAAUAUAUUCAAUCUAUAUAAUAUCUGGUUUCUUAAGAAUUAAAUUGAAUUUAAUCUUGUUUGAGUUAAAUAUUAUAAAGGAUAAACUUUAUAAUAAAUUAAAACUGUUAUUAAGGCGUUAGGAAAAAAUUUUUAAUAGUAAAAGGUUUAAAUUGUUUCUUAUAAAUAACCUAAAUGUUAUUAAAAUUUAUAAUUGGUUUAAUUAGUUAUUAAGAAGUUUUAUAUAAUUAUAAUAUAAAAGAUAAAAUGAUAAAAUUAGUAUAAAUUUUUGUAAAUUUUUAAACUGUAUAAAUUAUAUAAACGAACUCGGCAAAUAAACUUUCAACUGUUUAUCAAAAACAUUUUUUUUAGUAUUAUAUUAAAAAUAUGAUCUGCCCCCUGAAGGUUUAAGGGCCGCGGUAUUUUGACCGUGCAAAGGUAGCAUAAUCAAUAGUCUUUUAAUUGAAGACUUGAAUGAAUGAUUGAAUGGAAGGUUUUCUGUCUCUUUAUAAAUUUUAGAAUUUUAACUUAAUGUAAAAAUGCUUUAAUUUAAUUUUAAGACGAUAAGACCCUAUAGAUCUUGACAAAUUUCAACUUUUGUUUUAUUGGGGCAAUAAGAAAUAUAAAUAUUUCUAUAAAUUACCACAGAUAACUGAAUUUAUAACCCUUUUUAAAGAAUAUAAAUAAGAUACCUUAGGGAUAACAGCGUGAUUCCAUUAGAGAGCACACAUUAACAAUGGGGAUUGCGACCUCGAUGUUGGAUUAAAAUAAAAUAUAAAUGUAGCAGUUUAUAAUUUUAGUCUGUUCGACUAUUAAAAUUUUACAUGAUCUGAGUUAAGACCGGCGUGAGCCAGGUUGGUUUCUAUCUAAAAUUUAAUAAAUUGUAUUAGUACGAAAGGACCAUAUAAU